GCCUUCGUGGUGUAACGGUAACACACUCGGCAUGUAUUCGAGAGGUCCAGAUUCGAGUCCCGGCGAGGACA
rnacentral:tRNA from 1 species